CUGUGUCCCCGUUCUUGACUUGAUCAAGGCUGAAUUAGUGUCGUACUUUUGACAUGAGACUUGAUUCAUAUUACUUAGUAUAGUAUCAAGCACCAAUCAGCACGGAAUCCAAGAUCAUGUCCCUUUGAGAUGACUCAGAAUAUUAAUGUGCGUCAGAUUUGAAUAUCUGCGUGAAGGCAUGAUAACGUCCAUUUAGCACAGGUCUCCUUCCUCUCUUGCUUUGAACGUUCGGAGUACUUGAGCAAUAAAUUUUAUCCGAUCCUGAUUGGCACCGUGAACCAAGUGAGGCGAGCAUUUUUAGUAGCACCAUUGCUUCGUCUACCACCACCACGUUCACCAAGACUUCGUCCUUCCUCUACUAACAGCUUCCUUCCAUGGCCAGAAGGCUGAGCGUGAGAGUGUUCCAUCGAGAAAGUGAGAGAAGAACCUUGAGCAGACCUUCUUUCUAGGGCAAUACUAAUUCCAGCCCAGACAAGCACCAGUAAAGAUCACUCGAAGACGGGCAAUAUGACGGAUGUCUUUCCAAUGAGCUUGACCAAUGAAUACCAAAGGAGAGGAGAAAGGCUGGGAAGCAGAGAGGCAGGGGAAAGGGAAAAUCCGACUUUUGAUGGUUUGAUCACUUGAUCCUUUUCUCUCUUUCCCUUUUUAGGCCUCAAAAUGGCCCUCUUUGAGAUUGGAAAGUUCUCUUGCCAAUAAAUCCAUUUCAAUCCACCGAGGAUGAGGGGCAUCAUAAAUCGAAGCAAGCAACCAAAGCAAAUAGAACAGUAGUGUAUACCGCAGAGGUCCUGGUCCUCCCCCUGCCAUCCAUUGAGAUUGUUUUUGUUCAUAAAGUUCGCUUUGGUCCA